GACGAACGCUGGCGGCGUGCUUAACACAUGCAAGUCGAACGGUAAGGCCCUUCGGGGUACACGAGUGGCGAACGGGUGAGUAACACGCGGGUGAUCUGCCCUGCACUUCGGGAUAAGCCUGGGAAACUGGGUCUAAUACCGGAUAGGACCACUGCCUGCAUGGGUGGUGGUGGAAAGCUUUUGCGGUGUGGGAUGGGCCCGCGGCCUAUCAGCUUGUUGGUGGGGUGAUGGCCUACCAAGGCGACGACGGGUAGCCGGCCUGAGAGGGUGACGGGCCACACUGGGACUGAGAUACGGCCCAGACUCCUACGGGAGGCAGCAGUGGGGAAUAUUGCACAAUGGGCGCAAGCCUGAUGCAGCGACGCCGCGUGAGGGAUGACGGCCUUCGGGUUGUAAACCUCUUUCAGCACCGACGAAGCGCAAGUGACGGUAGGUGCAGAAGAAGGACCGGCCAACUACGUGCCAGCCGCCGCGGUAA
rnacentral:rRNA from 1 species